rnacentral:rRNA from 1 species
CUGCAACUCGCCUGCAUGAAGUCGGAAUUGCUAGUAAUCGCGGAUCAGCAUGCCGCGGUGAAUACGUUCUCGGGCCUUGUACACACCGCCCGUCACACCAUGGGAGUCGGUAACACCCGAAGUCAGUAGUCUAACCGCAAGGAGGACGCUGCCGAAGGUGGGAUUAGCGACUGGGGUGAAGUCGUAACAAGGUAUC